rnacentral:lncRNA from 1 species
GAUGCAGAAACGUCAGUGCAAGGGACAAAGGGAAUCAUCGCAAGGCCAAGAGCAAGUCCGGUGUUGGGAGCGGCUGGAAAGUAAUUACACGUGCAAGACGAAGCCAGCCCAAGAACACGGAGGCUCUGAGAACACAGGAGCUCCUCGAAGCACGUAAACAAGCCGCUGUGGCUUGUUAACUGAUUGCUGGGCAACGAGGCGGAAAUUAACCAACCUCUCAAGGGUAUAAAUAAAUGCUCCACCCUUCUCGGCUCAGGAGAGAGGAGCUCCACCCGAUCCCAGCUUUUCGGCUCUUGUCUAUUUUUUCCUCAAUCUCACUGCCCUUCUUUCCCGGGGUACAGCAAGAACCCAACGGAUCCACACAGUCUGUAAGAAAAAAUAUUUCAUGUUGAGGAGAAAUAAAAUAAAAGAGCAGCAGUGGUGAACUUACGGCACACACGCUGCAGUGGAGCACCUGUUACCACCGAAAGCUCUGAAAGGUUCACCAUCACUGCCGGAGAGGAAUGUACUUAUAUUUCACAUACUAUACACUUACACUGAUCCGUUUUCUCAUAUGGUAAUAAUGUCAUCUAACAUAUCCAACUGAAAGACACCUGAACAAUAUCACCUUAUCAUCUGGUGCAGCGCAUUAAAAGAAACGAUUACCACCACGGCACUUUCGCUUUCAUACAGUAUUUGAAAGGGAAUGUUUUGCCAGGCAGAAAAUCAGUCUCUUACAAGGUAAGUAAAAAUGUGACAGAAGAAGCUGUUAAGUAAGAUAUUGAAGCUUUAAGAGACUAAAUUUGAGGUAAUCGCAGAAUAAAAGACUGCACUUUGGUUAUUUUUUCAAUUGGGAGAAAAUAGGAUGUACUAC